rnacentral:rRNA from 1 species
UACGGAGGGUGCAAGCGUUGUCCGGAAUCACUGGGCGUAAAGGGCGCGUAGGCGGCUCGGUAAGUAGGGGGUGAAAUCCUGCGGCUUAACCGCAGGGCUGCCUUCUAAACUGUCGAGCUCGAGCACGGUAGAGGCAGAUGGAAUUCCCGGUGUAGCGGUGGAAUGCGUAGAGAUCGGGAAGAACAUCAGUGGCGAAGGCGGCAUCCUGGCCCUGACCUGACGCUGAGGCGCGAGAGCGUGGGAGCCAACCGG